rnacentral:sRNA from 1 species
GCCAGAAGGAUGGGGUGGCUCCCACUCCUGCUGCUUCUGACUCAAUGCUUAGGGGUCCCUGGGCAGCGCUCGGCAUUGAAUGACUUCCAGGUGCUCCGGGGCACAGAGCUACAGCACCUGCUACAUGCGGUGGUGCCCGGGCCUUGGCAGGAGGAUGUGGCAGAUGCUGAAGAGUGUGCUGGUCGCUGUGGGCCCUUAAUGGACUGCCGGGCCUUCCACUACAAUGUGAGCAGCCAUGGUUGCCAACUGCUGCCAUGGACUCAACACUCGCCCCACACGAGGCUGCGGCGUUCUGGGCGCUGUGACCUCUUCCAGAAGAAAGGCGAGUGGGGGUGGAGAGGGGCAGGGUGGGAGACAGGGGACCUCAGCCCAAGUUGAUCUUCUGUCUCUUGCUCCCAGACUACAUACGGACCUGCAUCAUGAACAAUGGGGCUGGGUACCGGGGCACCAUGGCCACGACCGUGGGUGGCCUGCCUUGCCAGGCUUGGAGCCACAAGUUCCCGAAUGAUCACAAGUGAGACAAACACCUUCCCUCUGUCCCGGCCUGGGGCCUUCCCCCAACACACACUAUAGUGAUGCUCUGGGCCCUCAGGUACACGCCCACGCUCCGGAAUGGCCUGGAAGAAAACUUCUGCCGUAACCCUGAUGGCGACCCCGGAGGUCCUUGGUGCUACACAACAGACCCUGCCGUGCGCUUCCAGAGCUGCGGCAUCAAAUCCUGCCGGGAGGCCGCGUGUGUCUGGUGCAAUGGCGAGGAUUACCGCGGCGCGGUAGACCGCACGGAGUCAGGGCGCGAGUGCCAGCGCUGGGAUCUUCAGCACCCGCACCA